UUGAUACGUAGCUCGCACGUGCGAUAGGUCUAAUAUAAACUCCACGCUUUCAUUUCUGGAUCGUCAGUUUCUCCGCUGGUAUACGAACGUCGCUAUGAAGUCCUUGGUCCUGCUGUUUGCCUUGACACUGCUGUCGGCAGCUCUGCUCACGGAAGCGCAACGAUUCCAGGGAGGUGGAGGAUUUCCAAGGCCUGGUGCCGGCCGUAGAUGUGGAAACGUCUUUUGUCGCCCCGGACAGCGCUGCAUCUUUGAAAAAGUUGUAUGCAUAAGAGCACCUUGCCCACCAAUCCCUCAAUGUGUGUGAGAUGGCAGCCACGACAGCUAACUCUACACUGUUUACCAUCCAGGCUGCUGCCACCCAUAGAUCACUUUCCUCUGCAAUAAAAGAGCACUCAGCC
rnacentral:lncRNA from 1 species